AUAAGAGAACCCUGCAUAGAGCCUGUCCAGUUCUAGUGGGCUCCAAGUGGAUAAUGACCCAAUGGAUAGACGAACGCCUGCAGCACUUUGCUCGACCUUGUCUCCGGGAUAGUACCAAAUGAAUUUGACUGAUGUUCUAAAAUAACUUUUCAUCAUUUCAAACUUUUAAACUACCAAUAAACAUAUCAUUUAGUGCGAA